GACGCUCGUCUCCUCGGCAGAACUCUCUUCUGCUCCGUCCCCCUUCCCAAGUAGACUCCCUCUGUAGCCGAGGCCAGCACGUAUAGCUAUUUGGUGUUGGAAAUGUGAAAGUGAGAUGGGCUCAGUGACCAGGCAAGCCUCAUGUAAAUGAGUGACAGGAACUCCUUGACCUUCUGGCACAAGCAUCCAAAACUGGGUUCCAGUCAGUUGGUGCAAGAAGAUCUCUCAAGAGGGCCUGUCGCUUGUUACCACCAUCUGGGGUCUUAAUUGCGGCAUGCGGGAUCUAGUUCCUUGAUCAAGAAUGGAAUCCGGGGCCUCUGCAUUCGGUGCAUCUUAGCCAUUGGACCACCAAGGAAGUCCCUAUGGUCGGUAUUUUUAUCAGCAAGUAAUUUCA